CCUACGGGAGGCAGCAGUGGGGAAUAUUGGGCAAUGGGCGCAAGCCUGACCCAGCAACGCCGCGUGAAGGAAGAAGGCUUUCGGGUUGUAAACUUCUUUUUUUAGGGACGAAGCAAGUGACGGUACCUGAUGAAUAAGUCACGGCUAACUACGGGCCAGCAGCCGCGGUAAUACGUAGGUGGCAAGCGUUAUCCGGAUUGACUGGGUGUAAAGGGCGCGUAGGCGGGAGUGCAAGUCAGAUGUGAAAACUAUGGGCUCAACCCAUAUCCUGCAUUUGAAACUGUAGUUCUUGAGUGCUUGAGAGGCAAUCGGAAUUCGGCGUGUAGCGGUGAAAUGCGUAGAUAUACGGAAGAACACCGGUGGCGAAGGCAGAUUGCUGGACAGGAACUGACGCUGAGGCGCGAAAGCGCGGGGAGCAAACAGGAUUAGAUACCCGUGUAGUC
rnacentral:rRNA from 1 species